AAUGAACGCUGGCGGCAGGCCUAACACAUGCAAGUCGAGCGAACCACUUCGGUGGUGAGCGGCGAACGGGUGAGUAACACGUAGGUGAUCUGCCCAUCAGACGGGGACAACGAUUGGAAACGAUCGCUAAUACCGGAUAGGACGAAAGUUUAAAGGUGCUUCUGGCACCGCUGAUGGAUGAGCCUGCGGCGCAUUAGCUAGUUGGUAGGGUAAAGACCUACCAAGGCGACGAUGCGUAGCCGACCUGAGAGGUUGAACGGCCACACUGGGACUGAGACACGGCCCAGACCCCUACGGGAGGCAGCCGUAGGGAAGCUUCGGCAAUGGGCGAAAGCCUGACCGAGCAACGCCGCGUGAAUGAUGAAGGCCUUCGGGUUGUAAAAUUCUGUUAUAAGGGAAGAACGACUUUAGUAGGAAAUGGCUAGAGUGUGACGGUACCUUAUGAGAAAGCCACGGCUAACUACGUGCCAGCAGCCGCCGUAA
rnacentral:rRNA from 1 species